CUGCCUCCUUUAUCCCAUAAAUGUUCCUAAUGCUCAUUUUCAGGGAGGAGGAUUUGAGAUUUGUUCUCCCAUCUCCUCCCUUGGCUGCCUUGUGAAUAAACCCUUUCUCUGCUGCAGACUCAUCUCAGUGACUGGCAUUUCGUGCGAAGGGCAAACCGAACCUGAUUUGGUAACAGGAACAGCGAUACAGACAGCUCAGAUGAGCUGGUUUGCAGAGCCACCCACCAGGAGACUUCUGGAAGAGAACUACGCAUCCCAAUAAUGCAGCUGAAGGCUCAAGGGCUGGUAGAGUUCAGAGAUCAUCUGGGAGGUAAAAUGAGGCA
rnacentral:lncRNA from 1 species